UACGUAGGGGGCAAGCGUUGUCCGGAUUUAUUGGGCGUAAAGAGCGUGUAGGCGGUCAGGUAGGUCCGUUGUGAAAACUCGAGGCUCAACCUCGAGACGCCGAUGGAAACCAUCUGGCUAGAGUCCGGAAGAGGAGAGUGGAAUUCCUGGUGUAGCGGUGAAAUGCGCAGAUAUCAGGAAGAACACCCGUGGCUAAGGCGGUUCUCUAGUACGGUACUGACGCUGAGACGCGAAAGCGUGGGGAGCGAACAGG
rnacentral:rRNA from 1 species